AUUGAACGCUGGCGGCAGGCCUAACACAUGCAAGUCGAGCGGAUGAAGGGAGCUUGCUCCUGGAUUCAGCGGCGGACGGGUGAGUAAUGCCUAGGAAUCUGCCUGGUAGUGGGGGAUAACGUCCGGAAACGGGCGCUAAUAACGCAUACGACCUGAGGGUGAAAGUGGGGGAUCUUCGGACCUCACGCUCUCAGAUGAGCCUAGGUCGGAUUAGCUAGUUGGUGGGGUAAAGGCCUACCAAGGCGACGAUCCGUAACUGGACUGAGAGGAUGAUCAGUCACACUGGAACUGAGACACGGUCCAGACUCCUACGGGAGGCAGCAGUGGGGAAUAUUGGACAAUGGGCGAAAGCCUGAUCCAGCCAUGCCGCGUGUGUGAAGAAGGUCUUCGGAUUGUAAAGCACUUUAAGUUGGGAGGAAGGGCAGUAAGUUAAUACCUUGCGGUUUUGACGUUACCAACAGAAUAAGCACCGGCUAACUUCGUG
rnacentral:rRNA from 1 species